rnacentral:rRNA from 1 species
AACGAACGCUGGCGGCAGGCUUAACACAUGCAAGUCGAGCGCCCCGCAAGGGGAGCGGCAGACGGGUGAGUAACGCGUGGGAAUCUACCCAUCUCUACGGAAUAACGCAUGGAAACGUGUGCCAAUACCGUAUACGUCCUUCGGGAGAAAGAUUUAUCGGAGAUGGAUGAGCCCGCGUUGGAUUAGCUAGUUGGUGGGGUAAAGGCCUACCAAGGCGACGAUCCAUAGCUGGUCUGAGAGGAUGAUCAGCCACACUGGGACUGAGACACGGCCCAGACUCCUACGGGAGGCAGCAGUGGGGAAUAUUGGACAAUGGGCGCAAGCCUGAUCCAGCCAUGCCGCGUGAGUGAUGAUGGCCCUAGGGUUGUAAAGCUCUUUCACCGGUGAAGAUAAUGACGGUAACCGGAGAAGAAGCCCCGGCUAACUUCGUGCCAGCCGCCGCGGUAAAAC